CUCCGGUUGAUCCCGCCGGACCCGACUGCUAUCAGAGUGGGACUAAGCCAUGCGAGUCAACGUAGCAAUACGUGGCAUACGGCUCAGUAACACGUAGUCAACAUGCCCAGGGGACGUGGAUAACCUCGGGAAACUGAGAAUAAACCACGAUAGGUCACGAUUUCUGGAAUGGAUCAUGGCCUAAAUCUACAUGGCCCCUGGAUUGGACUGCGGCCGAUCAGGCUGUUGGUGAGGUAAUGGCCCACCAAACCUAUAACCGGUACGGGCUCUGAGAGGAGAAGCCCGGAGAUGGGCACUGAGACAAGGGCCCAGGCCCUAUGGGGCGCAGCAGGCGCGAAACCUCUGCAAUAGGCGAAAGCCUGACAGGGUUACUCUGAGUGAUUUCCGCUAAGGGGAUCUUUUGGCACCUCUAAAAAUGGUGCAGAAUAAGGGGUGGGCAAGUCUGGUGUCAGCCGCCGCGGUAAUACCAGCACCCCGAGUGGUCGGGACGAUUAUUGGGCCUAAAGCAUCCGUAGCCGGUUCUGCAAGUCUUCCGUUAAAUCCAGCCGCUCAACGGAUGGGCCGCGGAGGAUACUACAGGACUAGGAGGCGGGAGAGGCAAGCGGUACUCAGUGGGUAGGGGUAAAAUCCUUUGAUCCAUUGAAGACCACCAGUGGCGAAGGCGGCUUGCCAGAACGCGCUCGACGGUGAGGGAUGAAAGCUGGGGGAGCAAACCGGAUUAGAUACCCGGGUAGUCCCAGCUGUAAACGAUGCAGACUCGGUGAUGGGCUAGCCUUGUGCCAGCCCAGUGCCGCAGGGAAGCCGUUAAGUCUGCCGCCUGGGGAGUACGGUCGCAAGACUGAAACUUAAAGGAAUUGGCGGGGGAGCA
rnacentral:rRNA from 1 species